AUUUGCAUCAGAAUACAUCAUGUGGCGUGGUGGUUUCUUUUUCAGAUCUAAUUUUGCAAGCUGCUCUGCCAUUCUUUCCUCUAGACCUGCAAGUAUAAACAAAAGGCAAAGUUUACUCUCAGAUCUCCCCUGAGAGAUUUACUUCUGGAGCAAACUUUUGUAGAUGUUUUUCCAACACAGUGGUUUAUAAAACAAGCACCGACCCAUCUGAGCUGCAGAAGUGUGAGCAGGCUGCCCUUAAUACCGUGUUGUUGAAUUUUUCUUCCAGCACUGACUGAAAGAGAGCUUGCCCUUUUCCUCAAAUCCCUCUCUGAUUGAGAGACGAGUGAGCUGGUAACUACAAUAUCCAACAGCUUCACCAAGUCGAGAAUGUGAUGUCUGUGUAAUAACGCUCAAUUUUACACACUUCAAAUCCAUUAGUAGCAAUUACCUUACCUGAGGUGUUUUGAGUUAGUUUUAGCACAGCAUUCUUGCAGUUGGUAGAUAAUGAGCAUAAUAAUGUAUACAGCAUUUUCAAGUCUCUGUUUUUAGCUACAAUAAUGCCAUUAGGAUUCUAUUUAGCAAAUGUGUGCUUCAUGUGAAAAGUUAAGACUUUUUGUUCAUGUUUUUCCCCCCACCUCUUUCUGUUGCACCUCACGUACUUCUCUAUGCAGCUCCAGCUCUCCUGUAAGAGCAGGAAAGUGCUUUGGCCACCGUGUUGCAUGCAAAGGUAGUGAGGCCUGGCACAUCGGUAUGACAAGUAGGAUGCAGGAGACCUGGGGUUCAUUUUAGUCCUGCUCCAGCAUCCCAGACAAGCUGUAUGUCUGCGUUCUAUUGAUGUUCUGGAAGAAUUCUUUACUCAGAGAGUGGUGGCACCAGAGAAGCUGUGGUACCCCAUCCCUGGAGGCAUUCAAGGCAAGGUUAGAUGGGGCCCUCGGCAGCCUGAGCUUGGGGGGGAGAAGACAGCCAUGCCUACAGCUAGGGUUUGGAGCUCGAUGGUCUUUAAGGUGUCUUUCAACUUCAGCCAUUCUAUAAUUCUUGUGGGCAACCACACAAAAUAUUUUGAGAAACAAACUUGUAUUUAUAGUGAAUGUGUUUAGAAACAGAUAGGUAAGAGUUUAGAGGGCCUCCUCUGUUGAAAAAGGGAGCAUGUGACGUCAUGUCUCAGGCAGAAGUGUAUUGUCUCUCCAGCUCUUUUGCACUAGGAUGCUCUUCUGAGAUAGCCAAGUGAUCCUUCUGGCAUUGAACUGAUAUUUCUCACCUUUCAGUUUUUGAUAAGACAAUGGUGUAUUAGGAUGAAGGGGAGCAGAACCUGUCCUCCUUGCUCUGCUGCCAUCUCCCUGCCUGCAGGGCUGCCUCUAGGCAGUCAGGCCUCGGUUAUGUGCUCCUGGGGCUGAGAUUUGUGCUCAUCACCUCUGGCACCUUCAGCUGUGAGUGUGACUGUCACCUCCAUCCAUCUGCUGCCCCGCAUGUCUGCUUACUUGACAGCCGAGCCCAAAAGCUGACCCCAUCUGCAGCCUGCAAACCGGAGGGGAGCUGGGGGAGGCAGAUAUCACUGCUCAGUCACAGUGUGCCCGGGCUGCUCCAGGGGCAGCGCAGCGAGGCGCUGGCCCUGAUCUCCUUGCAUUGCCAUCACCUACCCUGAAAUUAGUAACAGCGCAUCCAAGGUUAGCAGCAAAUUCAGAUGCUCAAGUCACAGAGGAGGAGGGUGAAUAAAGGACGGUGAGUGCAUACAGUACUAGCAGUUGCCUUAGACAAUGUGUGACCUCUGAAGUAGAAAGACCGGGAUUAGCAAAGAGCUUUUGGCAAUAUUGGGUCCAUUUACAAAAACCUUUAGUCCUAAUUGUAUGGUGCCACAGAGCUUUAACUCAAGCACAUAUUGGUUUUGUAACCUGAUCCCCAUAUAAAUUGUAGUCUGUGAAGAGCGCAACAAUUAGUGCCUUAAUCUGCUGGAACUGCAUAGUACCUUUAAAUCUGAAUCAUCCCGAUCAUUACAGGUAUAACAAGAGUUAAUUCAUUUAUAUUUCACACAGAAAUCUAAUUAAAUCCCACAACAACAUGCCUGUGAAAUGCUUGGGGAGGGAUGGGGAGCGCGGAGGGAAAGGCCUUUCCUCACGGAGCCGCCAUCAAACUUUGUGGCGUGUCAUUAAUGGAAAUGAAAUAUGUCCUGUUUUGCUUUAUGAUGAAGUACAAAGUCUGGUGUGUGGAGAUGUGUUUUCUAAUUUCAUAUGGCGCAGUGGAGAGGUCACAAAAGGAGUUUGCUGCUGUGUACUUUCAACUCAGUCUGCAAGAAAAUCAUAUAAUGCCUGCUAACCAGCGUCAGCACUUGGAAGAGAUGAAGGCCUUGAUGUUGUGGAGAGCCCGGUGCCGGUAGUUGGUCACCUAAGGGAAUCCACUUAUGACUCUAUUACCCAGUAAAUUAGCAGAGCGGUUCAGUCAGGUAUAUUUAUCAUGAAGAGAACUGAAGAUAAUUAAUACACUGCAUUGAAUGCAAAUUGCACCCACAGCACUUAUCUCAUUUUCAAUUAGCACAAAUGUUACAGCACUGCAGGCUUGUUAUGGUUUUACCAUGGGCUGGGUAAUUAAUUUCUGUGAGCUACAUAUCAGACACCUGAUAAUGCCGUUUAUUAAUAAAUGUCACCCCAGGUAUCUGUUAGGAGAGGUAAAUAAAUUAAAUGUUCAGUUGUCUGCCCUGUGCAAAUCUAUUCUUACACCUCAUUGCAUCUUUUCACUUGUUUGUUUAUCAACGAGAAUGACUACGGAGAUUACAAUGGCAAACAAAGGAAUAUGAGGAACAAUAAUCUGUGCCGAAAAGCGCCGUUCUCUCAGUGACAGCCCAUUGCUGAUGGCAGCAGCAGGGCACAUCUAUGCCUUGGGUAACACUCCUGCUGGGGACACGGGGCCCACCACAGGAGGGAAGCUGAAGCACCCACAAAUCCUCCACUUUGAAGGAACUGGACAACCACUUACUGCCUUUGGAAAACCAGAGAAGCGGGAAGUGGAACGACUUCUGCGGGCUGGUGGAAGAUAAAGGGAAGGUUUUUCUGCAGGAAUGUGUUCUUCAGUGACAGAAUGGACCAAAAGUCAUCUGUGCAGCCCUCAGAGUUGUCUGUCCGUCCUUGCUCCCUAGUGAGACAG